rnacentral:rRNA from 1 species
GAUGAACGCUCGCGAUAGGCUUAACACAUGCAAGUCGAGGGGCAGCAUGGUCUUAGCUUGCUAAGGCUGAUGGCGACCGGCGCACGGGUGCGUAACGCGUAUGCAACUUGCCUCACAGAGGGGGAUAACCCGUCGAAAGACGGACUAAUACCGCGUACACUCUAUGUUGGGCAUCCAAUGUAGAGGAAAUGAAAUUCGCUGUGAGAUAGGCAUGCGUCCCAUUAGCUAGUUGGUGAGGUAACGGCUCACCAAGGCGACGAUGGGUAGGGGAACUGAGAGGUUGAACCCCCACACUGGGACUGAGACACGGACCAGACUCCUACGGGAGGCAGCAGUGAGGAAUAUUGGUCAAUGGGCGAGAGCCUGAACCAGCCAAGUCGCGUGAAGGAUGACUGUCUUAUGGAUUGUAAACUUCUUUUAUACGGGAAUAACAAGAGUCACGUGUGGCUCCCUGCAUGUACCGUAUGAAUAAGCAUCGGCUAACUCCGUG